ACUUUUCUUUACAGAUGAUGAUGAUGGCGUCAUCCUGGUGAGCCCCGUCCAUCCUGUGACUGAGGGAGCUUCUGUCAGUCUGAGCUGCAGACGGAGAGGACAAAACACACUUUCCAGUGUUUCUUUCUAUCACAAUGACAAACGUCUCCAACAUGAUGGCAGAGAGGAGCUGAACAUCUCUGCAGUGUCACAGUCAGACGAAGGUUUCUACAAGUGUCAACAUGCAGGAAAGACGUCACAACAGAGCUGGAUGUCAGUUACAGCCGCUGUGUCCAGACCUGAAAACUCUUCAUUUCUUCUGCUGCUGAUUGUUGGACUAGUUGCUGGAAUCGUGUUUAUUUUACUGAUCUUACUUUGUUGGUACAGAAGGUCUAAAGGUGUUGCUGCAGAGCAGACGAUCCACCAGUAUGAAAAUCAGCAGCAUUCUUACUCCUCUCUC